rnacentral:rRNA from 1 species
GUCCUACGGGGGGCAGCAGUGGGGAAUAUUGCGCAAUGGGCGAAAGCCUGACGCAGCGGCGCCGCGUGAGGGAUGAAGGUCUUCGGAUCGUAAACCUCUGUCAGCAGGGAAGAACGGUCACUGUGCUAAUCAGCAGUGAAUUGACGGUACCUGCAAAGGAAGCACCGGCUAACUCCGUGCCAGCAGCCGCGGUAAUACGGAGGGUGCGAGCGUUAAUCGGAAUUACGGGGCGUAAAGCGCUCGUAGGCGGUAUGUCAAGUCAAGGGGGAAAUCCCCGCGCUCAACGUGGGAACUGCCUUUGAAAC